AGAGAUUAGAAACCUGCCCAAGCCAAAGCCCGUACUCCUAGCCAUCUUGCUAUAUAAGUUCCCAUCUUUCAUAUGGAAUCCCUACCCACCUCACCAGGUGAUACUGAAGAUAAAAUUAGGUGGUGCGUGGGAAAAUGUUUUUUGGAAGUUAAACAUGUGUAGCAUAAAUAUAAGGAAAAAUAAAAAUCUAUACUCCUGAAGAUCUUAUAACAAAGCUCAGAAGAACUCCCCAAAAAACUGACACAACCACACAUCUUCACUGACAUUAAGUAGCAGAGACAGCUAUAUAAACAACCUGCAACAGGAGGAUCCUAGAGCCCGGAAGCAUUAGUCCUGGAGGACUUCCUGAAAGAGGACACUGUGUGAAGCAAGGUGGAGUGGAGCCCCCAGCCAACCUGCACUGAACAUUUAAUGAGACUGAGAAAGAAAUCAUAGUCACUGGUUUGAAUGGACUAAUCAAGACCUAUGAACUGCUGUCUGCACUAAUAUCCACUUUCCCAGAGAUCAAAGCCACGUGGCCGGAGAGAGAGACUUUCAGCUGCUUUUCUUGCAUCCUUUUCUGAUCAGAGUGAUUUAUCACUUGAAUGCCAUCAUCAGGUCACAGGCUUUUUACUUCAGAUAUUUGGUAUCAGACUGUUGAGUAUCAGAUGAUUUAGCAUUUGAGUUUAUGCUUAAUCUGUCUUAUAAACAACCCCGUGAUUUAAAAGAAAAAAAUAUAAAACCUGUUAUAUGAGAAAAGCCUUGUCUACAGGACUCUAAGAAAUGGGAGGAGGCAAUACUUAGGAAAUCCAAUAGGCCUCAUUUAAUCUCUUCCUCCUUUAAACCAGGGAUAGACCUGCAUGUUGUGAUGAGGACGUUCUAGCCCUGAGCCAGGGUGAAAUGGUGCAGGGUGAGGGCAUAGUUCCUCACUGUGCAGGGAGGAAGAACAGGGAUCCUUCAGCCCCAUUUUUCAGAGGGAGAGGAUCUGAGAUUCCUGGCUCCUCUUGACCCUGAACUCACCGUUGUAUUUUUGGGAAGAAUACCCACAGUACUUCCACAGACAGAAAAACCUCGAGGGCAAGGACCAAGUGUUAUGGUUCCUACGAUCUCUCUACUAACCUCAAAGAAUAAACUACAACAUUCUAAGCAAAUGGAUCUCUAUGUGGCCCCUGCCAGGAAAAUUGUCUGAGUCUGGUACCAGCCCUUCAAAUCCAGAAGAGCUUGGCCCUAAGGUGGUGCUGAGCAUGUAGAAAAGGGGUUGCAAACCAAUUUUCCUAGUUGCUAUGACCAUAGAUCCUAGGGACCUCUUCAGUGUUAAGUUUCUCCCCAGACCCCACUGCUGCCCUUUGGGUUUGCUGGAUAUCACUUCUUGCACCAAGGGCUGCCUUCCCUCACCUUUGCCCUGCCAUUUGAUGUCCCAAGUCUUGACCAGGCCUGCGUGGCCUCACCUUGAUAGCACCUUCACCAUAGUAAGUAUUCAGUAUCUGGAUUGGCAGACCACCAGGCAGGCCCAGUGAGAUUGGCUGGUACCCAGUAGCAACUCAAUUCAUACUCCAUGAAUGACUGAAGGAAGUAUGAAAUUCCAGCCAUGCUUCCCAAGGGAGAGUCUGCAGCCCUGACUCAGACGGAGAUGGUAACAGGAGAAGUUUGAACCACCCAUCACCACUCCAGCCUGGAGGCUCUGUGGGAAGAGACCAGGAGCAAGGGAGGAAGAGUAGGCCCUUGCUCUGGACAGAUCCUCUAGUGCUGCCGCUGUGAGGCCAGAGCAAGGAGCCCUUGUAAGGAUGAGAAAGGAAGAAGUGUCUCCUCUACAGCUCCGGCUAAGUCCAAGCAACCUCAGCAUUUCUUCAUUCAGAACCUUUGCUCAGCCUAGGAUGUGUUGAGGACAUAAAGAACGAAGUGAUGAGUGCUGCCCUGACUCUCAGGGGUCCCAAAGGGGUCAUCUGUGGUCUGACGAUCCUCCUGGCUAAAUGGUUCCUACAGCUGUUGCUUAGGUUCAGAAGAAAAGGGGCUUCCACACAUCCAUACCUCAUCUGCUAGGAUUAAUAUUAAAAGAUAAGGCUAGUGGUGUUGCAGCCUCCUGACAUCAUCCUGGUCAGUCCACCUUAAAGAUGGAACUUCACAGAAACGAAGGGGUGGAGAGGAGUUGUAUGAAACCAGACAUCUUCUGAAUUCUGCAGAAAAUGCUAUGGCCAGAUUCACUGUACAGAUUCUGAUAAAUGCCAGAGGUGAGAGGGGGGUUUGGAUGUGGUCACAGUCAGUCAUAGGGCUGCAAUAUAGCCCAUAUGUCUCUGGCUUUUUUAAAGAUUAAUUCACAAAACAAAAAGUUCUCAAGUGUGCCUGGUAAUGACAGGAGCUCAGUAAAUAGUUGUUGAUAGACUGACCCAGCAUGUCCCUAGCUGCCUGUAUACUGGUUGCAUAGAGCCAUUUUCCCGGAGGCCGAGGCAGAUCUGAACCAUGACUAGAAUCCACGCAGGUGGUGAUGUACACGUGGCAGCCUUUCCAUUCCACUCAUCCAUAGCCUGUGUUGGCCAGAAGAGAAGCUCUGAAUAGUAACUUCUCUAUAUUUUUGCUGUUAAAAAUAACAAACCCUGGGCACUAGAUCAGGAGCUAUUUCUUUCCUUGUAGACAAGUAGGUCCUGCAUGGAGAAGCAAGUCUCUUCUGCCCAGAGGAUCCAUAGUCAAAUGCUUGCAGAGGAGAUUAUAUUCUAGAAGCUCUGAAAUAGUCAGAAAUGCCCCCAGGCUCUCUGAGGGAGGGAUUCAUUCCAACCCAAAAGGAUGUCUCUAUACAGGCUCAUGUGAGCAUGGGGUAGCUAAAGGAGUCUUGGGCAGCAAGCACCUGCACACCUGGCAAGGGCCACAGUGACAAGUGAGACGGGUCUGAAGUGAGGGCAAAAGGACGUGGCUUUAUGGAACCUCAGGCUGACUUCAGAGACACCCACCUCCUGCCCCUGCCAGCUGCUCAGCCUGGCCCCCAGGGCACCUCCCCAAAAGCUUACCAGUCAUUCUCCAGCGAUGGUAUUUGUCACACACUGGCAUUUCCUAUACUCCUUCUACUGACCACAUCUCCGGGGACUGCUGGGAGCCCACUGACCAAGCUCCCGAGGAUGUGAGUCAGCAGGCUGGCAUGCUUAAGAAAGGGGUGUUUGGUCCUGGCUUGAGAGCUUCCCAGACCCCGCAUUCCUGCUCCCCUGCUAUAUCAAAGCCCCCAGAUCACCAUUUCUUAGAAAGAUAAGAAGGGCAUUCCAUCCAGUCUUGGGCCUCUUUAAUGUUCCUGCCCCAUUGGUAGCCCCAGAGGGAGAGCAUCAACAUUAUUCCUUUCGAAGGGCACUGGAUGAAAACAGAAGAAUCACUGAGAAGCUGUUAAACAUUUAGAUUCCUGGGCCCCACUCAAGACAUUCUCUGGGGUGGAGGGUCAGAAGUAGGAAGCAACAAUCUGCAUUCAAAUACAUCCUCCAGGAGCUUUCAAGACCCUGCCAGGACUAGGAAUUACUAAACAUUAAAGAGUAUAACAACUUCAAAAGUACAUUAAAAAUUUCCUUUUUUUUUUUUUUUUUUUUUGGCUAAGGCCUUUGGAAGAGGAAUUUGACUCAAAGAUAAUUUUGCUUCCUGAUAACUGCAGAAGUAGCUCUCUCUUUCCUUAAAACAGGGAGACCCUCUGGGAUCUCUGUAUAUUUGAGGCCAGCAGGAAUCUGAGAUCAUAUCCAACUCAGUGUAGGCUGCAACUCGCCUUCCUAGGCAUUCCAGACUCCCACAGACGAUGCAGCUCCCAGCACGUUCCUGACUGCCAGAGACAAGUGAGGCUAUGAGUUUCUGCCCAGGGCUUACCAGAUUCUGAAAACUUCUAGAAGGGAUUUUCCUGGGCUAUCAAGCACUGACACCUAGAAAGAGGUAAAACUUGGUAUAUCUUGCAGGACCGAUCCCCGGAAACCGCUUAAACUUCCCAUAUUAUACGAAGGGCAGAGAUGUGUCUUUAAAAAAAAAAAAUCAGAGUGAAGCCAGAACAUAUGCUGCUAACAAGAAUGAAUUAGGUAAUGAGAAAGACAAUGUUUGUUGCCAGGACUGAGGCAGGAAAUAAAUCGUUUUUCUUUAAGGAAUCUCUCUGUUUACAUUGUUCUCUUUCCUCACAGGACUGGCUCAGAAAAGACCUGUUUUUGUUUUUGUUGUUGUUAUUUUGUUUUGACUCCUUGGCCAGUAGGAUUUGGUCCCAUUGAGCCUCAGCCCAGGAGGGACCCACAGCUGAAGCCACUGUUGUGAGUCACAGCAUAUUCGAGGGGAUGAGGGGUGAAGGCAGCUUCCCUGCUGGGGUGGCACCUGCCUGCUGCUGGCGGGGCCCAGCUGGGGCUGGCCUAGAUGCUUGGAGGUCGGAGGGGGUCAUGUCUGACUUUCUUACAUUUGUAUCCUUAGCUCUUAGUGCAGCACUUAACCAACACCUAACACAACAAUGACAGGAUGGUAAACGAUUGAUGGCUUUGAAGAUGGGCAAGACAAAUCUCUCUCUCUCUCAAUCUCUCCACACACUUAUACAUAUAUAUACACUGGGGAGAAGGAAGGAGGUGGAGGAAGAGAGGGAGAAUGAUAGAUGCAUGAAGUAUUUCAUAGGUCAGAAUCAUAGAUGACUGCCUGGGGGGCUAUGGGGAGGACUCAUCCCUGUCACCAUAGCUCAGAAGUUCCAGGCCCAUCAACAGCCCAUUUCAUCUGUUCCUGGAAUGCUGCAUGAAGAGGUAGGAACAGGCCAUGAUUAGAAGGCCCCAGAGCAGAAAGCCCAUCUGUACCCACUUUGACCCUCACACAUGGUCUCUGGCCCACAGAAUACCUCCUGCAGAAUCAUGUGAAGUCCUGCCCUUGUCCUGGUUGUUUCUCUUUCUCUGUAUCUCAGAAACACACUGGUCUCAUCUCUGGUUUCGCCACAUCAUGACAUUACGUGCACGAGAGGGCUCUACCUCUUCAUAGCAUCAUCAGCCAAGGGUGAGGAGAGAAGCCCCACUGUCCACAAGAAAAUGAGGGUGGUGCCACCGCAUUUAACUCCUUCCUUGCCCAUCUGCUCUUUCCCUGGGAAAGGAGUGUCAUGACAAUAUCAACCCUUAU